rnacentral:rRNA from 1 species
AGUGAAGCGGGAUGUAGCUCAAAUUUAAAAUCUGACUGGUUUACUAGUCCGAGUUGUAGUUUAAAGAAGCGUUUUCGGUGGCAGUCUCGGUAUAAAUCCUUUGGAAUAGGGUAUCAUAGAGGGUGAGAAUCCCGUCUUUGACUGAGAAUAUGCUACUAUGUGAUACGUUUUCAAAGAGUCGAGUUGUUUGGGAAUGCAGCUCAAAAUGGGUGGUAAAUUUCAUCUAAGGCUAAAUAUUGGCGAGAGACCGAUAGCGAACAAGUACCGUGAGGGAAAGAUGAAAAGAACUUUGAAAAGAGAGUUAAACAGUGCGUGAAAUUGUUAAAAGGGAAACGCUUGAAACCAGUCAUGCGGUUGGGAAAUCAGUCUCUGACAUGGGGGAAUGGGGGAGGUGUGGACCGCAAGGCCGCUCUUUUUCAUAUCUUUUGUGGCAGGGAUGCACUUUUUCUUCUGCAGGUCAACAUCAGUUUGCUUUGCCGGACAAAACUCUUGGAAAGGUGAUAGCUUAGGCUAUGUUAUAGUCCAAGAGCGAUACGGUGGAGCGGACUGAGGUUUUCGCAGCAUGUGCUCUCGGGCAAGGCUGAUUGGGUGCUAUGGGAUCGUUCAGAGUACAAUACAUGUAUUUUGCUUUGUGUCUUUUCUAUACUCGCUCAACUCGGCUCUUCCAUGCUUAGGAUGUUGACAUAAUGGUUCUAAUCGACC